UACGAAGGUGGCAAGCGUUGUUCGGAUUUACUGGGCGUAAAGAGUGCGUAGGCGGUUUGACAAGUCAGGAGUGAAAGCCCAAGGCUCAACCUUGGAAUUGCUUUUGAAACUGUCUAACUUGAAUCCGGUAGAGGUUGGCGGAAUUCCCAGUGUAGAGGUGAAAUUCGCAGAUAUUGGGAGGAACACCAGUGGCGUAAGCGGCCAACUGGACCGGUUUUGACGCUGAGGCACGAAAGCAUGGGGAGCAAACAGG
rnacentral:rRNA from 1 species